rnacentral:rRNA from 1 species
GGGGGGACUUUGGGUCAACCUCCCACCCGUGUUUAUUUUACCUUGUUGCUUCGGCGGGCCCGCCUUUACUGGCCGCCGGGGGGCUCACGCCCCCGGGCCCGCGCCCGGCGAAUACACCCCCGAACUCUGUCUGAAGAUUGAAGUCUGAGUGAAAAUAUACAUUAUUUAAAACUUUCAGCACCGGAUCUCUUGGUUCCAGUCUCGUUGAAGAAACUGUGAAAUGCAAUACGUAAUGUGAAUUGCAAAUUCUUUGAAUCAUCGAUUCUUUGAACGCACAUUGCGCCCCCUGGUAUUCCGGGGGGCAUGCCUGUCCGUGAAUUGUUGCUGCCCUCAAGCCCGGCUUGUGUGUUGGGCCCCGUCCUCCGAUUCCGGGGGACGGGCCCUAAAGGUUCGGCGGCAUUUCGUCCCGUCCUCCAGUGUAUGGGGCUUUGUCACAAUCUUCUGUAGGCCCGGCCGGCGCUUGCGGAUCAACUUAGGUUACACUCUCAGCUGACCUAUCUCUCUGUAUGGAUAGCCGGUCCUGUUUGCUAUACCAAUAACCGCAUAAAUUUUCUAGUGGUUGACCUCGGAUUAGGUAGGAAUACCCGCUGAACUUAAGCAUAUCAAUAAGCGGAGGAA